rnacentral:rRNA from 1 species
UGCGAGUUUAGGGGCUCCUUCGGGAGCACCGGCGGACUGCUCAGUAACACGUGGACAACCUACCCUCGGGUGGGGGAUAACCUCGGGAAACUGAGGCUAAUACCCCAUAGGCCUCGGAUACUGGAAGGUUCCGAGACCGAAAGCUCCGGCGCCCGAGGAUGGGUCUGCGGCCUAUCAGGUAGUUGGUGGUGUAAAGGACCACCAAGCCUACGACGGGUACGGGCCCUGAGAGGGGGAGCCCGGAGAUGGACUCUGAGACACGAGUCCAGGCCCUACGGGGCGCAGCAGGCGCGAAACCUUCGCAAUGCGCGAAAGCGCGACGAGGGGAGCCCGAGUGCCCUUCCUUUCGGGAGGGCUUUUCUGGAGCCUAAAAAGCUCCAGGAAUAAGGGCUGGGCAAGACGGG